rnacentral:rRNA from 1 species
UAGAGUUUGAUCCUGGCUCAGGAUUAACGCUGGCGGCGUGCCUUAUGCAUGCAAGUCGAACGGUCUUAAGCAAUUAAGAUAGUGGCAGACGGGUGAGUAACGCGUAAGUAACCUGCCCCUAAGUGGGGAAUAGCUCUGAGAAAUCGGAGGUAAUACCGCAUGUGAUGGUCUUUCGCAAGGAAGACCACUAAAGCCUUCGGGCGCUUGGGGAGGGGCUUGCGUCUGAUUAGCUAGUUGGUGGGGUAAUGGCUCGCCAAGGCGAUGAUCGGUAGCUGGUUUGAGAGGAUGAUCAGCCACACUGGGACUGAGACACGGCCCAGACUCCUACGGGAGGCAGCAGCAAGGAAUAUUGGGCAAUGGGCGAAAGCCUGACCCAGCGACGCCGCGUGGGGGAUGACGGCCUUCGGGUUGUAAACCCCUUUUCUCAGGGAAGAAUAAUGACGGUACCUGAGGAAUAAGUCUCGGCUAACUACGUGCCAGCCGCCGCGGUAAUUCAAU